rnacentral:rRNA from 1 species
CCUACGGGAGGCAGCCGUAGGGAAUCUUCCACAAUGGGCGCAAGCCUGAUGGAGCAACGCCGCGUGGAUGAAGAAGGUCUUCGGAUCGUAAAACCCUGUUGUUAGAGAAGAGAGUGCGUGGGAGUCACUGUUCACGUUUCGACGUUAUCUCACCAGAACGCCACGGCUAACUACGUGCCAGCAGCCGCGGUAAUACGUAGGUGGCAAGCGUUAUCCGGAUUUAUUGGGCGUAAAUGGAACGCAGGCGGUCUUUUAAGGCUGAUGUGACAGCCUUGGGCUUAACCGGAGUAGUGCAUUGGAGACUGGGAGACUUGAGUGCAGAAGAGGAGAGUGGAACUCCAUGUGUAGCGGUGAAAUGCGUAGAUAUAUGGAAGAACACCAGUGGCGAAAGCGGAUCUCUGGUCGGUAACUGACGCUGAGGUUCGAAAGCGUGGGUAGCAAACAGGAUUAGAUACCCUUGUAGUC